rnacentral:lncRNA from 1 species
GUCAAAAGUUACACAUGAGUACAGCUCACACAGGGAAAGGGGAAAACAGCAACCUCUUGAGCUGGAGCCUUAGGCUAGAAAAGAUCACUGAUUACCCACCUGUUCCCCCUGGAUACUAGGGCUUCAAUCCAGAAGGUGCUGUGAUGAAGUGGCUUCAGCAAAAUAUUACCUGAGACAUCCUGAUCCAUUAUGAGAACGGCUGGAGUGCAAUGGUGCUAUCUCGGCUCACCACAACCUUCGCCUCCCGGGUUCAAGAGAUUUUUCUGCCUCAGCUUCCUGAAAACCUAGGACUACAGGCGUCAGCAGGAUUUGGCCUGGGGAUGGAACAAAGGGACCCCCUGCUGUAGAGCAAGGGAGAAGGGAAUUUUAAAGAAGAGAUUGCAUCAAUAAAGAUUCUUUUAGCAUUAUUUUUAUCAUUAUAAAAAUUACACAUACUUGUUUUAGAUUAUUUGAAAACUUCAGAGCUGUAAAGAUGAAAAUAAAAAUUGCUUAUUAUCUUAAUCGGCAAAAUUAACCAUCCUUAACAUUUUUAUAUGUCUUUUAGUUAUUUUGUAUGCCUAUGUUUAUAAUGAAACAGUUUUGAAUUUUUU